rnacentral:rRNA from 1 species
CCUACGGGUGGCAGCAGUGGGGAAUAUUGGUCAAUGGGCGCGAGCCUGACCCAGCCAAGCCGCGUGAAGGAUGACUGCCCUACGGGUUGUAAACUUCUUUUAUAAGGGAAUAAAGUGAGGCACGUGUGCCUUUUUGUAUGUACUUUAUGCAUAAGGAUCGACUAACUCCGUGCCAGCAGCCGCGGUAAUACGGAGGAUCCGAGCGUUGUCCGGAUUUAUUGGGUUUAAAGGGAGCGUAGAUGGGUUGUUAAGUCAGUUGUGAAAGUUUGCGGCUCAACCGUAAAAUUGCAAUUGAUACUGGCAGUCUUGAGUACAGUUGAGGUAGGCGGAAUUCGUGGUGUAGCGGUGAAAUGCUUAGAUAUCACGAAGAACUCCGAUUGCGAAGGCAGCUUACUAAACUGCCACUGACAUUGAGGCUCGAAAGUGUGGGGAGCAAACAGGAUUAGAUACCCUGGUAGUC